rnacentral:rRNA from 1 species
UACGUAGGGUGCGAGCGUUGUCCGGAAUUAUUGGGCGUAAAGAGCUCGUAGGCGGCCACUCAAGUCGAAUGUGAAACCUCGAGGCUUAACCUCGAGCCUGCAUUCGAUACUGGGCGGCUAGAGUCUGGUAGGGGGAUCUGGAAUUCCUGGUGUAGCGGUGGAAUGCGCAGAUAUCAUGAGGAAGACCAGUGGCGAAGGCGGGUCUCUGGACAGUUCCUGACACUGAGGCACGAAGGCCAGGGGAGCAAACGGG